rnacentral:rRNA from 1 species
UGCCGCGUGCAGGGAAGAAGGCCUUCGGGUUGUAAACCGCUUUUGUCAGGGAAGAAAUCCUUUGGUUUAAUACCUCGGAGGGAUGANGGUACCUGAAGANNAAGCACCGGCUAACUACGUGCCAGCAGCCGCGGUAAUACGUAGGGUGCGAGCGUUAAUCGGAAUUACUGGGCGUAAAGCGUGCGCAGGCGGUCUUGCNNGACAGGUGUGAAAUCCCCGGGCUUAACCUGGGAACUGCACUUGUGACUGCAAGGCUGGAGUACGGCAGAGGGGGAUGGAAUUCCGCGUGUAGCAGUGAAAUGCGUAGAUAUGCGGAGGAACACCGAUGGCGAAGGCAAUCCCCUGGGCCUGUACUGACGCUCAUGCACGAAAGCGUGGGGAGCAAACAGGAUUAGAUACCCUGGUAGUCCACGCCCUAAACGAUGUCAACUGGUUGUUGGACGGCUUGCUGUUCAGUAACGAAGCUAACG